GAUGAACGCUGGCGGCGUGCCUAAUACAUGCAAGUCGAGCGAACAGACGAGAGUGCUUGCACUCUCUGACGUUAGCGGCGGACGGGUGAGUAACACGUGGGUAACCUACCUAUAAGACUGGGAUAACUUCGGGAAACCGGAGCUAAUACCGGCUACUAUUUAGCUUCGCAUGAAGCAAUAGUGAAAGACGGUUCUGCUGUCACUUAUCGAUGAACCCGCGGUGUAUUAGCUAGUUGGUGAGGUAACGGCUCACCAAGGCAACGAUACAUAGCCGACCUGAGAGGGUGAUCGGCCACACUGGGACUGAGACACGGCCCAGACUCCUACGGGAGGCAGCAGUAGGGAAUCUUCCGCAAUGGACGAAAGUCUGACGGAGCAAUGCCGCGUGAGUGAAGAAGGUUUUCGGAUCGUAAAACUCUGUUGUAAGGGAAGAACAAGUACGUUAGUAACUGAACGUACCUUGACGGUACCUUACCAGAAAGCCACGGCUAACUACGUG
rnacentral:rRNA from 1 species